CAAUUUAACAAGAAAAUGCCUCUAAAAUAGUAACAAAAUUAACAAUAAAACAAGAAUUAUACAAUAACAAUAAAAUAGUAGCAACAUAAUAGUGAAAUGGUAGCAAAAUAGUGAAAAAAAAAAUAAGAAAAUGACAACAGAACAAUAAAAAAUAGUAAGAAAAUAGUAAAAAAAAGUUUUUUUUUUGUAUAUCUAGGCCAGGCCUGAGCCAAAAAAGCCUUACCCAAGACCCA
rnacentral:lncRNA from 1 species